rnacentral:rRNA from 1 species
UACGGAGGGAGCUAGCGUUGUUCGGAUAUACUGGGCGUAAAGCGCACGUAGGCGGCAUUGCAAGUCGAUGUGAAAUCCCUUGGCUUAACCAAGGAAGUGCAUCCGAAACUGCAGUGCUUGAGUACUUAAGAGGAUCGCGGAAUUCCCGGUGUAGAGGUGAAAUUCGUAGAUAUCGGGAGGAACACCAGUGGCGAAGGCGGCGAUCUGGGAAGAUACUGACGCUGAGGUGCGAAAGCGUGGGGAGCAAACAGG